rnacentral:lncRNA from 1 species
GGACAUUGGAGAGUGACAGGUUCUCAGAGAGCCUCCAAAGGCAGCGCAUCAGCCUGCAGUGUAUUAUGUCGGUCUUGAGAAAGUGCAGAUUGCUGCUGAAAGCAAACUGGGCCU